GGAGGUCAGAGGCAGAGAUUCUGGGUUAGGCCAUUUCAUGCUAUCAUCAUAAGGUAACCAGGAAGCCACGGCAGCCAAGAAGAGUUCCAAUGCGGUGUGCUUCAAGGAUGAAAGGACGAAUGAAGACCCUUUUUACACAGAGAUACAGGGGCAGUGUGAAGGCAUGGAAUAUGACCAUGAGGGUCAGAAGACCUCUAAAAGGAACCUUGAGAAAGAAAAUCCGAUCAUAUGCCACUCAGUCGAAGAAGGUGAAGGAAACAAGAAAACUAAACUUUUUUCUGUUCCUGUGCACGUAAGAAACUGAAUCUAAGCUGAAAAGAGUACCAAAAUAUGAGGCAGAGUCAAAGAAGGAGGCAGAAUCAAAAGAGAAGGUAAGCUCAGCCACCCCAGAAUGAGAGACCCUGGACAAGGACAAGCUGGGCAACCAGUAACUGAAUAGAAAAGGUCAGUCAGUUUAGAAUUGUGUCUCCAGAGGUCUGCUUUCUUAGAAAUGGCCAAUCAGCAAAAGACUUACUCUCACACUAACAUAGUAAACUGAUGGCUGCAAAUAAAAUACACAUUAAAUGGUGAAAAGAUGA